GAUGAACGCUAGCGGCAGGCCUAAUACAUGCAAGUCGAACGGUGUCUUCGGACAUAGUGGCGCACGGGUGCGUAACACGUAUGCAACCUACCUUACAUUGGGGGAUAGCCUUUCGAAAGGGAGAUUAAUACCGCAUAAGACAGUAGCUGGGCAUCCAGCAGCUGUUAAAGAUUUAUCGAUGUAAGCUGGGCAUGCGUCCAAUUAGCUAGUUGGUGAGGUAAUGGCUCACCAAGGCAAUGAUUGGUAGGGGAACUGAGAGGUCAAUCCCCCACACUGGCACUGAGAUACGGGCCAGACUCCUACGGGAGGCAGCAGUAGGGAAUAUUGGGCAAUGGACGCAAGUCUGACCCAGCCAUGCCGCGUGCAGGAUGAAGGCGUUAUGCGUUGUAAACUGCUUUUAUACAGGAAGAAACGACUCUUGCGAGAGGCAUUGACGGUACUGUAUGAAUAAGCACCGGCUAACUCCGUG
rnacentral:rRNA from 1 species